GCGCAACCAAUCCCCUAUCGCUCCACACUCGUGCGCUCACGCGUGCCUACAAACACUCCCCUCCUCGCGAUUCCGCUCCGCGAUCGCGUAUUUCCUAACAAUUCCUCCAAAUAGCCCCCAACUAGACUGGCUGUGUGACCAUGCAUGGGACUGGGACUAAAUAUUUCUCCAGUCCCAUUAUCAAAUUUCUUAGUCCUGGUCCCAUAUAGUGUUUAUUAAAUUAGUCACUUUACACUGUUUAUAUUAUAAAUCUAGUCCCAGGUCAUGUUCUUCUUAUAAAUUACUGAUUCUGGUCUCAUUUGGUCCCAUUUUACAAAAUGGGACCAAAUGGGACCAUGAUUUACCCUAUAUAG
rnacentral:sRNA from 1 species